CAUUGUGCGUGUCUCUACUGCUGCUCAUUAAUGCUGAAAUAAUCAAUGGACAAACACCAGUGACAGCGACAUUGAACACGACUGCCUCACAGCCAGGAGUCAGAGGUAAAGAUGG